rnacentral:rRNA from 1 species
UACGUAGGGGGCAAGCGUUGUCCGGAAUCAUUGGGCGUAAAGCGCGUGUAGGCGGUCCGGUAAGUCGGCUGUGAAAGUCCAGGGCUCAACCCUGGGAUGCCGGUCGAUACUGCCGGACUAGAGUUCGGAAGAGGCGAGUGGAAUCCCCGGUGUAGCGGUGAAAUGCGCAGAUAUCGGGAGGAACACCAAUGGCGAAGGCAGCUCGCUGGGACGUUACUGACGCUGAGACGCGAAAGCGUGGGGAGCAAACAGG